AUGAGUUUGGAGUCUCUGAGACAACAGUUAGGAGCAAUAGAGGACUAGCAAAAGCUAAGUGUGGGGGAAUUUGAUAGGACUCAUAAAUGUACAUGAUUCUAUAUUAAUUUCUUCAUGUUUUCUUAGCUAGUUUUCCAUCUAUUUGAGUCAUUUACUUUAUUUUUAUGUUUUGUAGGUGUUAUGGAGCAAAGUAGAAGAAAAGAAGCCAAAUCAGCAAAUCUUCCUGUGCAGAUCAGUCAACUUCAAAAUAAAACUGAGAACAGCUCAGAGCGAGUGAGAAAGUGAGCUUUAUAUGGUUGGAAAGCCUUGGAUGUCUAGUUUUCAGAACUUUUAACGGUUCAUCCAUAUCAUUUUUCUACAAAACGUUAUGGCUGAAUUAGUACAGCAAGGUCAGACAUUCCGAGAAUCUGAUACUUUAACUGAAGUGGCAGCACACCUAACUUGGCAAAGUUGCAAGACACCAAACUUUGACUGCAGCUGCAGCACAAUACUUUUGAAAAUAUGAAGCUCUAUAUCCACCAAUUUUGACAAGGUUGCAGCCACCAUUCCUUUACAACAACUACAGCACACCGGUUUUGACAAAGCUGCAGCCAUCAUCUUUGACAAAGAAACAUUUCCAGCUGCAAUAACUAGUGCUACGAGCUCUAUAAAACCAAGGGCUGGAAUGGACAGAGAAGGAGGAGUAUUGGGAGGGAGAUGACCAGAUUAGAGAGCAUAAAUAAGUGUGAGAGCAGAAUAGAGAGAGGGAGAGACAUUUAGUUUAGAACUUAUGUCUGCAGCACAAGAGGAGAAAGAACGACACCCUUUCUGCCAUCAUCCAGCUAUCAUCUCUUUCAUUUCUUUUCUUCUAGUUUGUGUUUUCUUCGUAACUAUGUCUAGCUAAAUACUUUUGUAGCUAGAGGCGAUUUCAAAGCCCCGAACAUGUUCUAUUCAUAUUAAUAAUUCAGUUUUUGGUUUUCUAUAUUGUCAAUUGAGUGUUUGAUUCACCGUGUCUACAAGAUGAAUCUUUACUUAUUUGCUUAGGUGCGCAACUAAAUGAAUAAGUUAGGAUUCUAAUGCUAGGAGUAACACUAGAUUCGUAUAUGUCUUGUGUUCAUUCCAAUUGAGUAGCAAAAUGUUUUCGCGAAUUACAUGUGACUCAAACCAUAGGUUUAGCAAGACUACCAACGUACUUGUGACCCUAGAUUUAUCCAAACCCUUUUCUUGCUUAAUGAUUUUGAUAUGUUAAACUUAGCGAGCUUGUGUCUAGGUUGCAUAUUUGAAAAAAGAUUAAGUGGUGAGCUUGUAUUCACUUAACGAGGAACUAAGAAAGGGUAAUGGGUUAACUCGAGCUUGUGAGUUAAUUUCGGGUAAAUUCAAUUGAGAUUUAUAAUUCCAUAACUGAGCUUUGAUAUGAAUAAAUGUGUUCGGUGGUAGAGAAUGAGUCCUUAGCUUUGUUUCCAUUAACAGUUUUAGAAUCUUAUAAAGUCUGUUUCUGUUUGAUUAGCUUUCCGUGUUC
rnacentral:lncRNA from 1 species